CUUAUGAUUCGUCGAUUGUCAGAAAAGUGGAUUCCAAUCUCAAAUCCUUCAACCCCAACAAGCAGCUCGAAGACCAGUAACUUUCUCCCUCCUCCACUAUUUUUUCUCUUUGAAUUGGGGUUAAAAAUUUGUAAAUGAUUACUAAGUAUUUGAGACCAAUUGAAAAAAGAAUAUGUGGACAGAUUUCGUGUUUGUGAUUUCAGAGUUUAAUACUUCUAUGGCGAACCUUUGGCUGUAGUGUCAUAAUUGAAGCCUCUAUGAAGAAAAAUGAUGAUGAAGUUGCUGGAAAUAAAAGCCUGAGGGCUGUUGUUGCUGUGAUGGUUGUAGAUUUCCUCUUCCUCCUUGUCCCAUUUUCUUUAUUUCUUACUGUAACUGCUUUGUCCUGGCUAUAUUGAAAUAUGUUAACUCUAAGUGCUUUAUUUCUCAGCUGUUUUGUUUGAAUGUAAUAUAUUUGCAAAUAAUGGUGGAUGUGGAACCAGGGGAUUCAUUAGGAACAAUUAGCUGUAUUGAAAUCCUCACUUUCUUCUCCACAUACACAUGAGGAAUACACAUCAUUAUGUGCCGCUUUUGCGGGGCAGCAUUUUAGGUAGGGGCCUUAAAUGCUACACUAUACAUGUCAAUCCUUUGGAAAGAUGGGUUCAUUCUUUGUUAAUUUUUUUAGAGUUGCAACAAGUUUGAGGUUCUCAGGUAUAUGAGUGAAGGUUUUGUCUUGAGAUACUUUUGAAAAUGGUUUACUCAAAAGAGGUUGUUGACUGACGGAUGGUUGGUUGUCAACUAAUCUUAAAUAGGCAGCUUCAUUGCCUGGACUUCAAAUUUCUUUACCAGCACAUGUAGAUCCUUUAUCUUUCUUGUCAUAGUGUUUGCACACACAAUUAUUGCAAUUGUUGCCGACAUCAGUUUAUUAUAAGUUUUGUCUGAAUGGAUAUGUGUGAUUGCAACUUUGCCGAUCUUGUUGCUGCUGAUCUCUUUUUCAGCUAGAAGGUGAAUGCAUAUCCAUAGAAUUUUUUGUGCUCUAUCUAUGUUUGUGAAUUUGAUUAUGCAUUAUUUACCUGCAUAAUACCAAAGCGUCUAGAUACAUAUACUUUACAGUUCAUUUGGGAUAAUUUAGUUUAUGCAAAUUAUUACAUUAGAAACGUGUUAAUCCUCCAUACAGAUUUAGAUCUUCUUUUCAGGAAAGUGGUGUCUUUUCUUUUAGGACAAAUAUCUCAUCUUACCUUGGUUGCUAUGGUAUGCAGCUUGUCUUAUGAUUAAAUACAUCGUGGUUUUUCCCUUCUGUCUGCUAAGGUUGCAUUUCUUUUCCUUGAAAUUUCCAAUUUUGGCUACAAGGGUAAUUGCUGCAGAUGCUUUCCACCUGCUUGUGUAUUUUGGCUGUUGACCUAGAAAAUAUGCUAAAACAGAUGCCUACGGCACUGGUUCGAUAGAUCUUGGGGUGGGCUUAUCUGUUAUAGUCAAUUCCCUGGUUUCACAACAGGCACGAGGCAAUUCAAUAGUGUAAGUGGUUGUUUGUGCUUUCAUUCUCUAAAUGCUUAAUUUUCUUUUAGAGGUAGACUGGCCAUUGUUUUUGGACUAUCUACUUACAGUGCAUUUGAAAUACUAUUAUAUGUUCUUUGCAUUUCCAUGGCAAGGGUUUCAAAAUUGACAGGUAGUAUUUGCUCACUUUAGCGACUUCUUUUGAAUGGCUAUAUAAUAGUGACAUAGCGUUGCAUGCUUAGGAUGAAAUAGAAUUGAAUCAUGCAUAUGCAUGAAUUCUGCAAGCUUAUGUGAGUCACUGGAUAAUUGUUUUUUCUAUUGUUGUUCUAAAUGCAAGCUAUUGUUGUUCUGUCCUGCUUCUGCAACUUACAGCUUACACUCGAAAUGUUUUUAAUACUGUUUCAACACACUGAAAAAUCAUAUGCUUCUUUCAGCUCAAAUGUGGUUGAAAUUUUCUUUUUUUGCGUCACAGAAAAAAAAUAUCCAUGUUUUCCCUUUCAUUUUGUACUGUUAAUCAGAGCUGAUUUUUUAUUUCAGGACACUCAGAAACAAUUCUUUCUCUCGGAUGAAAAAGAACUAAGGAAGUAACUUAACUAUUGAACCCAACACAAAAAAAAAAAAGUUUCUAAGAGGUUGUGUUAAAGCCCACUCACUUAGUCCAUGAUUAAAAACAUUGAAGUUUCGGCGGACAAAAAGCCCGCAUCCAGGCAGGGGCAGGGGAGUUAAGAGGCCCACCCUGGGAAAUCCACUUUGCACCCCGUUCAAUGAGUGCCCUGCUUGGCUAGUAGCCCACGGGCUUCUGGUGAACAAAAAUUUAAGGGGCUAUUCUACAACCUCGAUGUGGGAAGUUAAUAGUAGUAACAUGAAAGUAAUAAAUGUAUUGCCAAGACAAACUCUGCGUUCGUCCACGUUCCCUUUCUGCUUUACCGACGCACCCUCUUGCCGUUUGCCGAGAUUCCAUUUCACCCGUCUCUAAGGAUAAAACUUUCAACGCUAUUAAACUAUUGGUCGUGUCGAUUUUUGAUUAUUAAAUAAUAUUUUAUUACAAAUUAGUUGCUAAA